rnacentral:rRNA from 1 species
UACGGAGGGUGUGAGCGUUACCCGGAUUUACUGGGUGUAAAGGGCGUGUAGGCGGUCUCUCAAGUCCGAUGCUAAAGACCGAGGCUCAACCUCGGGAGUGCGUUGGAUACUGUGAGGCUAGACGGUCGGAGAGGGCAGCGGAAUUCUCGGAGUAGCGGUGAAAUGCGCAGAUACCGAGAGGAACGCCAAUAGCGAAGGCAGCUGCCUGGACGAUUGGUGACGAUGAGGCGCGAAAGAGUGGGGAGCAAACCGG